rnacentral:ribozyme from 13 species
ACAAAAGAAACACCACGAAAAUCAAGUCCACGUGAGACACCAUACUCUGUAUCUCUCUUUUUCCGUUUGGUUUUCUUUUUUGAAGACCGCUUUCUCCUUUUUUUCUCUCC